GCAGUCGCGACCGAGUGGUUAAAGCGAUGGACUAGAAAUUUAUUGAGGUCUCCCCGCACAACUUCGAAUCCUGUCGACUGCG
rnacentral:tRNA from 1 species